AUGCUCACUUUUGCAGCACAUACACUAAAAUUAGAAUGAUACAGACAAAAUUAACAUGGUCUCUGCACAAGGAAGAAGGACCAAAGGCUUUGAUUUUGGUGAAAUGUAA
ensembl:snRNA U6 U6 spliceosomal RNA